GCGAGCGUAGUCUAGUGGUUAUGAUGUCUGCUUUACAUGUCAGAUGUGAAGCGCAGAAGGUCGGGAGUUCGAUCCUCCCCGCUCGUA